GCGGUGGUCGCAUAGCGGCAGUGCGCCAGCCUGGAAAGCUGGUGUCCUCCGGGACUCGUGAGUUCGAAUCUCACCCACCGCG
rnacentral:tRNA from 1 species